ACCUGGCUGGCUUAGUCAGUAGAGCAUGUGACUCUUGAUCUCAGGAUUGUGAGUUCGAGCCCCAUGUUGGGUG
rnacentral:tRNA from 1 species